rnacentral:lncRNA from 1 species
CGCAGUUCUGGCCUUAGAUUAGGUCAGGGAGAGGGUGGCGGAGAGCCUCUGUCUCUCUGCCCGAUCCCUGCCUUAGGGUCCCAACCUGGGAUAUUUCUGUCGAGGAGGGGACUCGUUUUUUGUUUCCCAGGGCUUUUGGGGCGACCGAAGCUCGCCUGACCUUCCUAGGUGUUUCCCCUAAGUGACGCUUCUAGGGGAAAAUGAUGUCGGCAUUUCUCGCUGAAGGCCCUGGGGUUCUCACCCACCUUGGGGGGAAGGAAGAUUUGGAGAAUGGGGAAGACGUGGCAACGUGUCCUAGCUGCUCUCUCAUUAUAAAAGUGAUUUAUGACAAAGAUCAGUUUGUGUGUGGAGAAACAGUCCCAGCCCCUUCAGCCAACAAAGAAUUAGUUAAAUGCUGAAGAAGCCUUCAGGAAUCCAAAUCCUGAACAUUUGGAAUGAGCCCAGAUAGAAAUAUCGAAUGCAAAGCUACUGGCUUCACAGAGACAACCAUUUAUGAUUUGCUGUUCUGUAAGAGUGUGGAUUCUUUCUAUCAACUGCUGAUAUCAUCUUCAGGAAGCAAGUCCAUAACAUGACAUAUCUGGAUUUUGUGCUUAGAACCUUAAAUUGGAAGCAUUCUUAAUUAUGCAUCUAAAUUUAAAAGAAGAUAAUUUCAAAACAGUGCUUUCUUUCCCUUGGUUUCAUCAUUUUCAUAUCUUAAACCAAAUUACUUCGGUAUCUGACAACAGCAUCAUCUACCUC